rnacentral:rRNA from 1 species
UACGGAGGGUGCAAACGUUGCUCGGAAUCAUUGGGCGUAAAGCGCACGUUGGCGGUCUCUUCAGUCGGAUGUGAAAGCCCCAGGCUCAACCUGGGAAGUGCAUCGGAAACUGGAAGGCUGGAGUACGGAAGAGGGUCUCGGAAUUCCCGGUGUAGAGGUGAAAUUCGUAGAUAUCGGGAGGAACACCAGUGGCGAAGGCGGAGACCUGGGCCGAUACUGACGCUGAGGCACGAAAGCCAGGGGAGCAAACGGG